rnacentral:miRNA from 1 species
UCUGUUCAUUCCUCGACACAAG